GCCGGAGAACUACGAGCUAAAGCUUGAAACUCAAAGGACUUGACGGUACCCCAAAUCCCCCUAGAGGAGCCUGUCCUACAAUCGAUAACCCCCGCUCAACCUCACCAUUUUUAGCUUUUCAGCCUGUAUACUUCCGCCGUCAGCUUACCGCAUGAGCGAAACUUAGUGAGCAUAAUGACUACCACCAACACGUCAGGUCAAAGUGCAGCAAACAAAAUGGAAAGAGAUGGGCUACACUCUCUAACAUAGAAAAAACGAAAAAUUAUAUGAAACUCUAGUUGGAAGGAGGAUUUAGAAGUAAAUAGAAAUUAGAGUGUUCUAUUUA
rnacentral:rRNA from 1 species